rnacentral:lncRNA from 1 species
GCUGAGACACACGAGCCGCCAGGCAAGUACGAGGAAUCACAUUGCUUCCAACAAGCUCGGCAUCUAGUGGGACCCAUCCACGAGGAAGGCACAAGUCACCUCAGGAUGCACUUCAUUUGAAAGGAAAAAAAAAAAAGAAGAG